rnacentral:misc_RNA from 1 species
GAUGAAGAACGCAGCGAAAUGCGAUAAGUAAUGUGAAUUGCAGAAUUCAGUGAAUCAUCGAAUCUUUGAACGCACAUUGCGCCCGCCAGUAUUCUGGCGGGCAUGCCUGUUCGAGCGUCAUUUCAACCAUCAAGCCCCCGGCUUGUGUUGGGGACCUGCGGCUGCCGCAGGCCCUGAAAACCAGUGGCGGGCUCGCUAGUCACACCGAGCGCAGUAGCACAUCUCGCUCAGGGCGUGCGGCGGGCUCCUGCCGUGAAACCCCCCACUGUAACCCCAAAGGUUGACCUCGGAUCAGGUAGGAAUACCCGCUGAACUUAAGCAUAUCAAUAAGCGGAGGA